CCGUAGAGAAAGAGUUGUCCUGAAGCCGUUGACGGCCGCGGACGAGCAUGGCUGCUCUACAUCCGGGGUUUCGCCGUCACUUCAUUUUGCUCAAAGGGUCCUGUGCAGCAACGGGGACGCCAUUGAGUGUCGUUGGCGUGUCGACCACUUCCCAGCUUUCUGUUGGUCUCCCACCCACCAGCAAACUGAAAACCUGCUGGAGCAAUCCUGGCGUAUUUCCCAAUAAGCUGUAGACUUGUGAUUCAAGCUGGAAGACACAAACCACUCAUAUGACCAAAAGUUUGGUUAUAUGUUGGUGGAGACCGCUACAGCAGGCUGGUGCAGGAGGUGGUGUUGGUGGAGACCGCUACAGCAGACUGGUGCAGGAGGUGGUGUUGGUGGAGACCGCUACAGCAGACUGGUGCAGGAGGUGCAGACUGGUGGUAUUGGUGGAGACCGCUACAGCAGGCAGGUGCAGGAGGUGCAGGAGGUGCAGGAGGUGGUGUUGGUGGAGACCGCUACAGCAGGCUGGUGCAGAAGGUGCAGGAGGUGGUGUUGGUGGAGACCGCUACAGCAGGCUGGUGCAGGAGGUGCAGACCGGUGG